rnacentral:rRNA from 1 species
ACCAGCCCCUCGAGUGGUGGGGACUUUUAUUUGGCCUAAAGCGUCCGUAGCCGGCUGUAGCCGUCACCCGUUAAAUCCAGCGUCUCAAGCGUUGGACUGCGGGUGAUACCCUACAGCUAGAGGGUGGGAGAGGUAAGCGGUAUUCCUGGGGUAGGGGCGAAAUCCUUUGAUCCCAGGAGGACCACCAGUGGCGAAGGCUGCUUACUAGAACACGCCUGACGGUCAGGGACGAAAGCUGGGGCAGCGAACC